GGGUCGUUAGCUCAGUUGGUAGAGCAGUUGACUUUUAAUCAAUUGGUCGCAGGUUCGAGCUUGCGGCGACGGCCCG
rnacentral:tRNA from 1 species